UACAGAGGGGGCAAGCGUUGUUCGGAAUUACUGGGCGUAAAGGGCGCGUAGGCGGCCUGUUAAGUCGAACGUGAAAUCCCCGGGCUCAACCCGGGAACUGCGUCCGAAACUGGCAGGCUUGAAUCCGGGAGAGGGAUGUGGAAUUCCAGGUGUAGCGGUGAAAUGCGUAGAUAUCUGGAGGAACAUCGGUGGCGAAGGCGACAUCCUGGACCGGUAUUGACGCUGAGGCGCGAAAGCCAGGGAGCAAACGGGG
rnacentral:rRNA from 1 species